rnacentral:rRNA from 1 species
AGCGAACGCUGGCGGCAGGCCUAACACAUGCAAGUCGAACGAACCUUUCGGGGUUAGUGGCGGACGGGUGCGUCACACGUGGGAACGUGCCUUUAGGUUCGGAAUAACACAGGGAAACUUGUGCUAAUACCGAAUGUGCCCUUCGGGGGCAAGAUUUAUCGCCUUUAGAGCGGCCCGCGUCUGUUUAGCUAGUUGGUUGAGGUAAUGGCUCACCAAGGCGACGAUCAGUAGCUGGUAUGAGAGGAUGAUCAGCCACAUUGGGACUGAGACACGGCCCAAACUCCUACGGGAGGGAGCAGUGGAGAAUCUUGCGCAAUGGGCGAAAGCCUGACGCAGCCAUGCCGCGUGAAUGAUGAAGGUCGGAGGAUUGUAAAAUUCUUUAACCGGGGACGAUAAUGACGGUACCCGGAGAAGAAGCCCCGGCUAACUUCGUG